GGGCACAGAUGCGUCAGAGCUGGGCAUGCAUGGGGAAAUUCCCCUCCUGGUCCUCGCCAUUGGAAAAUCGCUUGAGGGUGUUAGCCGGGACUUGGAGCUGCUGCCAGACCGCGUCGUCUCCUUACUCCCCUGAAGGAAGAGAAGAAGGAUCAUCAAUGGCAAGCGGCAGCUGCAACAAAACAACACUAUGAGCUGGCUGCAUGCUCAGGAAAGAAUGCCCGCCUCCUCCGUUUGGUUUCCAGUGCUCUAAACAUUCAGAGAAACUUCUCUAGUAUUGAAUGACAGAAAUGAGCCCUGAGAGUAGAGUCUUAGAAGACUUGAUUUUGUUAAGACAACAAUAUUCCCCAAAGCAAUAUGCAGAUUCAAUGCAAUCCCUAUCAAAGUCCCCAAAUCCCACAAAUUCCGUUUUGCUGAAGUAGAAAAGCUGACUCUGAAAUGUACAUAGAAUUGCAAGGGAUCCCAAAUAGUCAAAACAAUCUUGCAAAAAGAAGAACAAGGUGUUAAGACUCACAUUUGCCAAUUUCAAAACUUACUACAAAGCUACAGUAAUCAAAAUCAUGUACUACCAACAUAAGGAUAGUCAUGCAUAUAGAUCAAUGGAAUAGAAUUGACAAUCCAGAAAUAAACGUAUGCAACUAUGGUCAAUUGAUUUUCAACAAGGGUGCCAAGACCAUUCAAUGGGGGAAAAGAAGGGUUUCUUCAACAAAUGGUGCCAGGCCAACUGAUUAUCCACAUGCAAAAGAACAAAGUUAGACGUUACCACACAUCAUGUACAAAAAUUAACACAAAAUGAAUAAAAUUCUAAAUAUAAGAGCUAAAGCCAUAAAAGUCUAAGAAAAGAACAGCUUUAUAACCUUGGGUUUGGCAACAGUUUCUUAGACCAAAAACAAAAGGAACAAAUGAAAAAUAAGUUGGGGGCUUCAUCAGAAUAAAAAACUUCUGUGCAUGAAAGAACGCUAUCAAGAAUGCAAAAGGAAACCCACAGAAUGGAAGAAUAUAUUUGCAAAUCAUAUAUUUGACAAGAAUCUUGUAUCCAGAAUAUAGAAAGAACUUGUACAACUCAACAAGAAAAACACAAACAACUCAAUUUUUAAAAUGGACAAAGGCAUGAAAAAGAACAAAAUCAUGUCCUUUGCAGCAACAUGGAUGCAGCUGAAGGCUAUUAUCCUAAGUAAAUUAACACAGAAACAGAAGACCAAAUGCCACAUGUUCUCACUUGUACGUGGCAGCUAAACAUGGGGUACACACGGACACAAAGAUGGGAACAAUAGACACUGGGGGCUCCAAAAGCGGGGAGGAGGGGUGGGAGGGCAAGGGCUGAAAAACUACCUAUUGGGUACUGUGUUCACUAUUUGGUUGAUGGGAUCAAUAGAAGCCCAAACUUCAGCAUCACACAAUAUACCUACGUAGAAAACCUGUACAUGUACCCCCGAGUGUAAAAAAGAUGGGCAAAGGCCUUGAAUAGAUAUCUCUCCAAGGAAGAUAUACAAAUGGUCAACAAGCACGUGAAAAGAUGUUUAACAUCAUUAGUCAUUAGGGAAAUGCAAUUCAAAACCACAAAAAUGUAGGUAUGAGAUAGCAUUUCAUACCCACUAGGUUGGUUAUAAUAAAACAAAACAAAACAAACAGAAGGAAUAUGACAAGUUUUGGUAUGGAUGUAGAGAAAUUGGAACCCUCAUACAUUGCUGGUGGAAAUGUAGCCACUAUGGGAAUCGGUUUGGUGUUUCUUCAAUAAGUUAAAGACAGAAUGACCAUUUGAUGUAGCAGUCCCACUCUUAAGUAUAUAGUCAAAAGAACUGAAAACAGGUAUUCAAAUAAAAACUUACAUGUUCAUAGCAGCACUAUUCACAACAGACAAAAGGUGGAAAUAGCCCAAAUGUCCCUCAACUAAUGAAUAGAUAAACAAAAUAUGGCAUAUCCAUGCGAUGGAAUGUUAUUUGGCUAUAAAAAGGAACGAAGUAGUGAUGCAUGCUACAGCAUGGAUGAACCUUGAAAACAGACUGGACCUGGUGGCUCACACCUAUAAUCCCAA
rnacentral:lncRNA from 1 species